AACAAACGCUGGCGGCGUGCCUAAUACAUGCAAGUCGAACGGGGAAAGCUUUCGGGUGAGUACUAGCGGCGCACGGGUGAGUAACGCGUGGAUAAUCUGCCCUCGAAUGGGGAAUAACUAGUCGAAAGAUUAGCUAAUACCGCAUAAGACCACGACUACUGAGGUAGUUGGGGUCAAAGGAGCAAUUCGUUUGAGGAUGAGUCCGCGUAAGAUUAGCUAGUUGGUGAGGUAAUGGCUCACCAAGGCGAUGAUCUUUAACUGGUCUGAGAGGAUGAGCAGUGACACUGGAACUGAGACACGGUCCAGACUCCUACGGGAGGCAGCAGUAGGGAAUAUUGGACAAUGGGGGCAACCCUGAUCCAGCGACGCGGCGUGAGCGAUGAAGGCCUUCGGGUCGUAAAGCUCUGUUGUAAGGGAAAAAGUUCUGAUUGUACCUUACGAGAAAGGAUCGGCUAACUUCGUGCCAGCAGCCGCGGUAA
rnacentral:rRNA from 1 species